AACAAACGCUGGCGGCGUGCCUAAUACAUGCAAGUCGAACGGCAGCACAGUCCCGCAAGGGAUGGGUGGCGAGUGGCGGACGGGUGAGGAAUACAUCGGAAUCUACCUUGUCGUGGGGGAUAACGUAGGGAAACUUACGCUAAUACCGCAUACGAACUGCGGUUGAAAGCGGCGGACCGCAAGGCGUCGCGCGAUUGGAUGAGCCGAUGUCCGAUUAGCUAGUUGGCGGGGUAAAGGCCCACCAAGGCGACGAUCGGUAGCUGGUCUGAGAGGAUGAUCAGCCUCACUGGAACUGAGACACGGUCCAGACUCCUACGGGAGGCAGCAGUGGGGAAUAUUGGACAAUGGGCGCAAGCCUGAUCCAGCCAUGCCGCGUGUGUGAAGAAGGCCUUCGGGUUGUAAAGCACUUUUGUUGGGGAAGAAAAGCACUUGGUUAAUACCCGGGUGUUCUGACGGUACCCAAAGAAUAAGCACCGGCUAACUUCGUGCCAGCCGCCGCCGUAACAC
rnacentral:rRNA from 1 species